rnacentral:lncRNA from 1 species
UCCAGAAAGGGUGCGCUCCGGGAGCGAGGGGGCUGCUCUGAGUCGCCACCGGGUGAGCCAGCUUGAUUUUUGGCGAGCUCCGCUCCGCUCUCCUGCUCUGCCUCCGAUCCGGUGCGCCCCGGCGGCUCCUCUCCCGCUCCGCGUUAUCCCUCGCAGAGGCUCCGCUGAUGCAUCAGAGCGCGGGGCUCUCGCUAUUCGCCUUUUGCAUAGAGGGUUUUUUUUUUCCUCCUCUCUCCCUCCCUUCUCUCUCUCUCUCCUCUCGCUCUUUCGCAGCUCUCGAGCCGCAGCUGGAAGUGUUAGCUGGUGUUGUUGCGAGUAAAUUUGUUGUUGUUGUUGUUUUGUUUUGUUAUUUUUAACACUUCAUGGUGCUUUUCCUCUGGGCUCUCUCCUGCAAAGUGCAGAGCGAGGAGAGAGGUUCAUCGGGGGAGGGAGGAGGGAAAGAGAGCGAAGGCAAAAAAAAAAAAUCAAAAAAAAAAUCAAAGUCUGUAUCGCAACCAAAAUAAUAAUAAUAAUAAUAAUAAUAAUAAGAGUUAAAAAAAGAGAGAGAGAGAGAGAGAGAAAAAACAACUCGGCCUCAAAGCUACAGCAAGAAGAUGAAAAAUAUUUAAAGGUUUGAUCCGGCAGGAGAGUUUAAAGCAUUGCGGAGUUUUAUAGCGCCCGUGACGUCAGGCGGGACACGGGCUCGGGGCCGGGCCAAUGGGCGCGCGCCGCCCGGCCUCAUUAGCAUAAGAGUCUAGCGACAGGGAAACUUUGCGGGCUGUCAGUCAGGGCUCAGCUGACUGUCAGCGCCCGCUUAACCCCCUCCUGGCCGCCGGCACCGCGCCCGGGCUCGGCUCGGCUCGGCUCGGCUCGGCUCGGCUCGGCUCGACCGCCGCCGGCCCGCUUCGCACCGUGCGCGCCCGCGGCGAGCGCCCUGCCCCGGGGCGGAGUGCCCGGCGCUGCCCCUGAGCCCGGCCCGGCACCCGAGGGCGCGGGGCAGCUCCGGGCGGCCGGGAGCAGGGAGGGGGAGCGCCGGACGCGGUACUCCGGGAGAGCCGGCAGCGCCCGGCAGGGAGCGGGCAGCGCGGGGCUCCGCCGUGCCCGGCGCGGUACCUGCGGACGGGCGGGCGGGCGGCCGGCCCUUCCCCCGUGCCGGUCAUCGCUCCGCACCCCCGCGGCGCCCCGGUCACUUAUCGAUUAUUUUCUUACGGGGACAGGGCAUCGAUCCCUCCAUCCCCCACGCCCGCCCGGAGGUGCGAGAGCCCCGCAAGUUUGCAAACCCUGCGCCCCCUCCCGCCGCACCCGGCGCGCGGGCCAGGACUAAUUAAUUUAAUACAUUUAGAACUAAUUGUAUUUACUUUCGCCUCCCCCCCAGCCCCCCUUCCCCUCCAGUGCUGGAGGGGGCUGGGGCCGGUCCGGGGGCCGAGGAGCGGCGGCGGCUGGAGCGGAGCGGCGGAGCGGCUCGGUUCGAACCUCGACAGCGCCAUCUCUCGUCCGCAGAUUUCUUUGUCUCUGGAGGUCUGCACAGCCCUCCCUAGAACCAGCCAAAAGCAGAGCCAUGGUCCAGAAAUAAUCCUUAGCUCCUUUCUUCAAUUAAGACGUGGGAGUACAAAAAUUUGGUGACAAACAUUCCGCCGGCCGGGAAGGGGAGGCUCAAAUUCUGCUGCUCCUCACUCACCAGCGUGGGAAAGGAAAACAUCAGUCUGACAUUGCAGAAGGUCUUCUCCUCCCUGCCUUGCUGUGGCCACUGCCAAUAAUUGUGCCCACGCUGCUGUGGGGCAGCAGAAGGGACCUGAGGA